GGGGAAUUUUCCGCAAUGGGCGCAAGCCUGACGGAGCAACGCCGCGUGAGGGACGAAGGCCUCUGGGCUGUAAACCUCUUUUCUCAAGGAAGAAGACAUGACGGUACUUGAGGAAUAAGCCACGGCUAAUUCCGUGCCAGCAGCCGCGGUAAUACGGGAGUGGCAAGCGUUAUCCGGAAUUAUUGGGCGUAAAGCGUCCGCAGGCGGCCCAGCAAGUCUGUUGUUAAAAAGUGGAGCUUAACUCCAUCCAGGCAAUGGAAACUGCUGGGCUAGAGUGUGGUAGGGGCAGAGGGAAUUCCCGGUGUAGCGGUGAAAUGCGUAGAUAUCGGGAAGAACACCAGUGGCGAAGGCGCUCUGCUGGGCCAUAACUGACGCUCAUGGACGAAAGCCAGGGGAGCGAAAGGGAUUAGAUACCCCUGUAGUCCUGGCCGUAAACGAUGAACACUAGGUGUCGGGGGAAUCGACCCCCUCGGUGUCGUAGCCAACGCGUUAAGUGUUCCGCCUGGGGAGUACGCACGCAAGUGUGAAACUCAAAGGAAUUGACGGGGGCCCGCACAAGCGGUGGAGUAUGUGGUUUAAUUCGAUGCAACGCGAAGAACCUUACCAGGGUUUGACAUCCUGCGAAUCCCUUGGAAACUUGGGAGUGCCUUCGGGAGCGCAGUGACAGGUGGUGCAUGGCUGUCGUCAGCUCGUGUCGUGAGAUGUUGGGUUAAGUCCCGCAACGAGCGCAACCCACGUCUUUAGUUGCCAGCAUUUAGUUGGGCACUCUAGAGAGACCGCCGGUGAUAAACCGGAGGAAGGUGUGGAUGACGUCAAGUCAUCAUGCCCCUUACAUCCUGGGCUACACACGUACUACAAUGCUACGGACAAAGGGCAGCAAACUCGCGAGAGCUAGCAAAUCCCAUAAACCGUGGCUCAGUUCAGAUCGUAGGCUGCAACUCGCCUACGUGAAGGAGGAAUCGCUAGUAAUCGCAGGUCAGCAUACUGCGGUGAAUACGUUCCCGGGCCUUGUACACACCGCCCGUCACACCAUGGAAGUUGGCCAUGCCCGAAGUCGUUACUCCAACCCGUAAGGGAGGAGGACGCCGAAGGUGGGGCUGAUGACUGGGGUGAAGUCGUAACAAGGUAACC
rnacentral:rRNA from 1 species